rnacentral:rRNA from 1 species
CGUAGGGUGCAAGCGUUGUCCGGAUUUAUUGGGCGUAAAGAGCUCGUAGGCGGCUUGUCGCGUCGAUUGUGAAAACCCGGGGCUCAACUUCGGGCUUGCAGUCGAUACGGGCAGGCUAGAGGCAGGUAGGGGAGAGUGGAAUUCCUGGUGUAGCGGUGAAAUGCGCAGAUAUCAGGAGGAACACCGGUGGCGAAGGCGGCUCUCUGGGCCUGACCUGACGCUGAGGAGCGAAAGCGUGGGGAGCGAACAGGAUUAGAUACCCUGGUAGUCCACGCUGUAAACGUUGGGCGCUAGGUGUGGGGGACUCUCCAGUUCUCCGUGCCGCAGCUAACGCAUUAAGCGCCCCGCCUGGGGAGUACGGCCGCAAGGCUA